rnacentral:rRNA from 1 species
GCAACCUGGUUGAUCCUGCCAGUAGUCAUAUGCUUGUCUCAAAGACUAAGCCAUGCAUGUCUAAGUAUAAAUGGUAUACAGUAAAACUGCGAAUGGCUCAUUAAAACAGUUAUAGUUUAUUUGGUAAUCGAAUUUACAUGGAUAACCGUGGUAAUUCUAGAGCUAAUACAUGCUGUAAAGCCCGACUUCUCGGA